rnacentral:rRNA from 1 species
ACGGGGACCCGCACAAGCGGUGGAUGAUGUGGUUUAAUUCGAUGCAACGCGAAAAACCUUACCACCUUUGACAUGGCAGGAAUCCUAAAGAGAUUUGGGAGUGCUCGAAAGAGAACCUGCACACAGGUGCUGCAUGGCUGUCGUCAGCUCGUGUCGUGAGAUGUUGGGUUAAGUCCCGCAACGAGCGCAACCCUUGCCAUUAGUUGCUACGAAAGGGCACUCUAAUGGGACUGCCGGUGACAAACCGGAGGAAGGUGGGGAUGACGUCAAGUCCUCAUGGCCCUUAUAGGUGGGGCUACACACGUCAUACAAUGGCCGGUACAGAGGGUAGCCAACCCGCGAGGGGGAGCCAAUCCCACAAAGCCGGUCGUAGUCCGGAUCGCAGUCUGCAACUCGACUGCGUGAAGUCGGAAUCGCUAGUAAUCGCGGAUCAGCAUGUCGCGGUGAAUACGUUCCCGGGUCUU